rnacentral:rRNA from 1 species
CCUACGGGAGGCUGCAGUGGGGAAUAUUGGACAAUGGGGGCAACCCUGAUCCAGCCAUGCCGCGUGUGUGAACAAGGCCCUCGGGUUGUAAAGCACUUUCAGUGAGGAAGAACGCCUGGUGGUUAAUACCCAUCAGGAAAGACAUCACUCACAGAAGAAGCACCGGUUAACUCCGUGCCAGCAGCCGCGGUAAUACGGAGGGUGCGAGCGUUAAUCGGAAUUACUGGGCGUAAAGCGCGCGUAGGUGGCUUGAUAAGCCGGUUGUGAAAGCCCCGGGCUCAACCUGGGAACGGCAUCCGGAACUGUCAAGCUAGAGUGCAGGAGAGGAAGGUAGAAUUCCCGGUGUAGCGGUGAAAUGCGUAGAGAUCGGGAGGAAUACCAGUGGCGAAGGCGGCCUUCUGGACUGACACUGACACUGAGGUGCGAAAGCGUGGGUAGCAAACAGGAUUAGAUACCCGGGUAGUC